CUAACUUUGAAGUACCCAUUAAAUGGGUUUCUUGUACCCAUUUUUAUUGCUUGUACUGAGUUGUCAAAAAAAGGGUAUUAUUUUCUGACAUUAAAAAGGGUACAUUUUACUCUUCUUGAGGAAUGACUUCAAUCAGCAAUAAUGGGUGAAAAAGCCCCUUGUCGUUAUUUUGAGCAGAAAGAUUGAAAUUAUUACCACGAAUUAUAUUUCAUUAAUUAACUGAAAGCAUCAUGGACCCUCGAAGAAGCGGGAUCUGGAACAGGAAGAUACGGAGCAAGCGCCACGGAUUCAGAUGGACCAAUGUUAUUAAUACUCCAAUUAGCACUUUAUUUAAAAGUAAUAAUCUAAUAAAAUUAUUUUCAUUAGACUCUUA